rnacentral:rRNA from 1 species
GACGAACGCUGGCGGCGUGCUUAACACAUGCAAGUCGAACGGCAAGGCCCUUCGGGGUACACGAGUGGCGAACGGGUGAGUAACACGUGGGUGAUCUGACCUGCACUUCGGGAUAAGCCUGGGAAACUGGGUCUAAUACCGGAUAGGACCACUGCCUGCAUGGGUGGUGGGGGAAAGCUUUUGCGGUGUGGGAUGGGCCCGCGGCCUAUCAGCUUGUUGGUGGGGUGAUGGCCUACCAAGGCGACGACGGGUAGCCGGCCUGGGAGGGUGACCGGCCACACUGGGACUGAGAUACGGCCCAGACUCCUACGGGAGGCAGCAGUGGGGAAUAUUGCACAAUGGGCGCAAGCCUGAUGCAGCGACGCCGCGUGAGGGAUGACGGCCUUCGGGUUGUAAACCUCUUUCAGCACCGACGAAGCGCAAGUGACGGUAGGUGCAGAAGAAGGACCGGCCAACUACGUGCCAGCCGCCGCGGUAA